rnacentral:rRNA from 1 species
UGGGGAAUAUUGGACAAUGGGGGCAACCCUGAUCCAGCAAUGCCGCGUGUGUGAAGAAGGUUUUCGGAUUGUAAAGCACUUUCGACGGGGACGAUGAUGACGGUACCCGUAGAAGAAGCCCCGGCUAACUUCGUGCCAGCAGCCGCGGUAAUACGAAGGGGGCUAGCGUUGCUCGGAAUGACUGGGCGUAAAGGGCGUGUAGGCGGUUUGUACAGUCAGAUGUGAAAUCCCCGGGCUUAACCUGGGAGCUGCAUUUGAUACGUGCAGACUAGAGUGUGAGAGAGGGUUGUGGAAUUCCCAGUGUAGAGGUGAAAUUCGUAGAUAUUGGGAAGAACACCGGUGGCGAAGGCGGCAACCUGGCUCAUAACUGACGCUGAGGCGCGAAAG